GACGAACGCUGGCGGCGUGCUUAACACAUGCAAGUCGAACGGAAAGGCCCUGCUUUUGUGGGGUGCUCGAGUGGCGAACGGGUGAGUAACACGUGAGUAGCCUGCCCUUGACUUUGGGAUAACUUCAGGAAACUGGGGCUAAUACCGGAUAGGAGCUCCUGCUGCAUGGUGGGGGUUGGAAAGUUUCGGCGGUUGGGGAUGGACUCGCGGCUUAUCAGCUUGUUGGUGGGGUAGUGGCUUACCAAGGCUUUGACGGGUAGCCGGCCUGAGAGGGUGACCGGCCACAUUGGGACUGAGAUACGGCCCAGACUCCUACGGGAGGCAGCAGUGGGGAAUAUUGCACAAUGGGCGGAAGCCUGAUGCAGCAACGCCGCGUGCGGGAUGACGGCCUUCGGGUUGUAAACCGCUUUCGCCUGUGACGAAGCGUGAGUGACGGUAAUGGGUAAAGAAGCACCGGCUAACUACGUGCCAGCAGCCGCGGUGAUACGUAGGGUGCGAGCGUUGUCCGGAUUUAUUGGGCGUAAAGGGCUCGUAGGUGGUUGAUCGCGUCGGAAGUGUAAUCUUGGGGCUUAACCCUGAGCGUGCUUUCGAUACGGGUUGACUUGAGGAAGGUAGGGGAGAAUGGAAUUCCUGGUGGAGCGGUGGAAUGCGCAGAUAUCAGGAGGAACACCAGUGGCGAAGGCGGUUCUCUGGGCCUUUCCUGACGCUGAGGAGCGAAAGCGUGGGGAGCGAACAGGCUUAGAUACCCUGGUAGUCCACGCUGUAAACGGUGGGUACUAGGUGUGGGGUCCAUUCCACGGGUUCCGUGCCGUAGCUAACGCUUUAAGUACCCCGCCUGGGGAGUACGGCCGCAAGGCUAAAACUCAAAGGAAUUGACGGGGCCCCGCACAAGCGGCGGAGCAUGCGGAUUAAUUCGAUGCAACGCGUAGAACCUUACCUGGGUUUGACAUGGAUCGGGAGUGCUCAGAGAUGGGUGUGCCUCUUUUGGGGUCGGUUCACAGGUGGUGCAUGGCUGUCGUCAGCUCAUGUCGUGAGAUGUUGGGUUAAGUCCCGCAACGAGCGCAACCCUUGUUCACUGUUGCCAGCACGUUAUGGUGGGGACUCAGUGGAGACCGCCGGGGUCAACUCGGAGGAAGGUGGGGAUGACGUCAAGUCAUCAUGCCCCUUAUGUCCAGGGCUUCACGCAUGCUACAAUGGCUGGUACAGAGAGUGGCGAGCCUGUGAGGGUGAGCGAAUCUCGGAAAGCCGGUCUCAGUUCGGAUUGGGGUCUGCAACUCGACCUCAUGAAGUCGGAGUCGCUAGUAAUCGCAGAUCAGCAACGCUGCGGUGAAUACGUUCCCGGG
rnacentral:rRNA from 1 species